CACAUGAGUGUAAUUAUAUUACACAUGAAAUUUGCAAUUGGAUGGAAAUACACUUGAAAAAUUUGAAGAGUUGACUUUGGGCGUGGAAUAUUGCCUCUUUCUGCGAGGAGAAUGGAUUCAAGUGAGGUGGCAGUUGAAGAUAAAAAUCUUUUUUCCUUACUCAGGUCCAAAAAGAAAAAAAAUCACUCGUACGUCUCCAAAAUUUUAGUUUUUGGGUUGGUCAUCUCACUUCUUGGCCUUUUUAAUUAUCUCACAGUGCGCCCACAAUAACAAGACAAAGGAUCAGUCGAUUCACCGACGACUCAGGUAGCUGGCCCGUUAUCCUUAUAUGCAGCUUCCAACCUACUCUCACGACAAGAAGAUUAGGGGGUGACAUUAUGACACGCCAUUGACGACCCUGGCGAGAGAACAGCUAUUUUCAAAACUAGAUCCUCUUUUAUGAUAACGGUUCAUCUCAGCUCGUUUCGAAUGCAACACGCAUAUUGAAUUCAAUGAAAUAGAGAAAAGGGAAGACAUUUAAGAUAUCCAUUUAAGAAGAAUAAUAUUUUAAAUGGAAAAAUUGGAGGUCAGUGUCGGUCCAGAAAAAAAAAUGCAUCAUCUGAAAAAUGUAGAAAAAAUAUUUCGCAGUUAGGACAACUUUAUAAA